rnacentral:rRNA from 1 species
CGGGACGGGUGAGUAAUGUCUGGGAAACUGCCUGAUGGAGGGGGAUAACUACUGGAAACGGUAGCUAAUACCGCAUAACGUCGCAAGACCAAAGAGGGGGACCUUCGGGCCUCUUGCCAUCGGAUGUGCCCAGAUGGGAUUAGCUAAUAGGUGGGGUAACGGCUCACCUAGGCGACGAUCCCUAGCUGGUCUGAGAGGAUGACCAGCCACACUGGAACUGAGACACGGUCCAG